GAAGUGCGAUAAGCAAUGCGAAUUGCAGAAUUCCGCGAAUCAUCAGAUCUUUGAACGCAAGUGGCGCCAGAGGGAUAUCCUUCUGGCAUGUCUGUUUCAGUGUCUGAGAGGUUUCACACUCACCUUAAUGUGAUUGAACUGAGUUAGUUAGUUUACUUACUUACUCUUUUCUCUCAUGAAAGAUGCGCGAGGGGAUCUUUCGGUCCAAUGAAGUGGUCACAUCACUCGAAUGUGAUUUCAUUGGAAGCACCGAAUUAUCAUUUACAAAACUCGCGGUAUCAUAUUACUAAUGAUGAUGUAUGUUAUCAUUCAUCAUCAUCUCUCUACACCCUGCAUCUGAGACAGGCAAGAUCACCCGCUGAACUUAA
rnacentral:misc_RNA from 1 species